CGAGACAAGGGGAAUCCGAUGCAUUAUUGCCAGCGUGGCCGCUGCCUAAUCCUGUGGAUCUCUCAUGAGCACCAUGGCCAGCUUCUCCGGCCUGUUGUUCCUGCGGCCACCGACGACGUCCCUCUCCCUGUCGGCCUUCCUCUCCUUGGCCGGCGACGACGGCAUGAACAGGUGCCCGAAGCCGAAGACGCUGAUCACCGGAUCCACGCGCACGUUGGCCGAGUAGGACCGCUCCAUGCCCCUCGGCCGUCGCGGCCCGACGCCCGCCGACGCCGGCGUGCUCGCGCAGCGCUCCAGCCCGCGGAACACCACGCGCCCGGACGCGCUCACGCGCGGGCUCUCCGCCGCCGCCGCGGGCCGGGACGGGCGAGAGGGCCCGCGCUGCGGGGGCCACGGCCCCGCCCCCGCCCCCGCGCGAGGGUUCCUGCAAGAGCCCGCCGAGGACGAGGACGACGACGAGGCACGGGUCGGGAGCAGGCGCGCGCCCGCCGGUUCCUGCCGCUUCGGCGCGUCCGCGGCGGCGCCGACCUUGUCGCCCCCCGUAGAUCUUGUCCUGGACAUGAGGUGGAGGAGGUUCGCCACGGGCGCCGACCGCGUCCGCAGCGGGGAACACGACGGCGGCGGGCGGCGCGCGCUCUUGCCCGAGUCGACAGAGGACGCCGACGAGGACGACGAGGAGUCCCGCGAGAGGAGCGGCCGGAAAUGCGUCGCCCGUCGCCGCGCCUUCAGACACCGGUCCGCUGCGCACCUGCUGGCGUCGCCGCCGCUGGCAGCCUUGGGUUUCCUCCUGUAGCUGGACACGAGGAGGAGGAGGAGGUCGCGCCACCGGCGCCCAGCGCAUCGCGGGGCGCGAGGGGACGUCGGUUCAGACGCGGGCUCCACCUCCAGGCGCGGCGGCGGAGGGGAGCAAGGAGCAGACGCUGGCGCGGGUCGGCGUAAGGGCACGAGCUUCCCGCCGGAGAAGAGCUCGUCGGCAGCCGAGAGCGCUACCGCGGCGGCUGGGACGACGUGGAACUCGAACUCGUCGACGUCGGCCUGAGCCGGAACCGCCAGCGCAGCGACGGGGCCGUGGAACGUGAAGGGAUCCGACGGGGAAGUCACCGUUGCGGUUGCCAUUGCCGGGGGUGGCGGGGCAUGAACGCGUGAUGCGACGAGGUGGCGAGCGGGAACUCUAAACUUGCCGCUGAUGUGAGAAGGAGAGCAGUCGGUUUUGUUCGGCGGCGGCGGUGGCCGGUGGCUAGCCAGCGCGGGGGUAGUUAGCUCCACGCGCCUCCACCGUGUCACAGAAAGUUGGCAAGAUAUAUGAGCGGUUUCGGGCUACCGGGUCGAACGCGCCGGCCUGGCGGAGAACCCAAACGCGGGAACAGAGUAUACGAGGCAAACGGGGCUAGGGAUGGUAGUUGGACCCGUGGGUAUGGAUACCCGUAGGUUUCGUACCCGGUGGAUAUGGAUACGGGUAGAAAAACUCACCCGCGGGUCCUAUCAGGUAGGAUACUUGAAAUAUAUCGGGUCGGGUAUGGGUAAAAUAUUUUACCCGUGCGUACCCAGUGGAUAUCCGAGAUAUCAAUAUACCUCUUUAAAUAUGCUACAUCCACUAAAAAUUAAGGACCAUAAUAGAAUGAAGCCAAAAAAAAUACACAGCAAUCCUGGUUUUCUUGCAUGCUGGUUGCUGCUACUUCACCAUGGACACAUGCACGACCAUGGGCUGCUGUUGCUGGCGGUAGGCUGCUGCUACUAUACAC
rnacentral:misc_RNA from 1 species